rnacentral:rRNA from 1 species
UGGGGAAUUUUGGACAAUGGGCGAAAGCCUGAUCCAGCAAUGCCGCGUGUGUGAAGAAGGCCUUCGGGUUGUAAAGCACUUUUGUCCGGAAAGAAAUCCUUGGUUCUAAUACAGUCGGGGGAUGACGGUACCGGAAGAAUAAGCACCGGCUAACUACGUGCCAGCAGCCGCGGUAAUACGUAGGGUGCAAGCGUUAAUCGGAAUUACUGGGCGUAAAGCGUGCGCAGGCGGUUUGCUAAGACCGAUGUGAAAUCCCGGGCUCAACCUGGGAACUGCAUUGGUGACUGGCAGGCUAGAGUAUGGCAGAGGGGGGUAGAAUUCCACGUGUAGCAGUGAAAUGCGUAGAGAUGUGGAGGAAUACCGAUGGCGAAGGCAGCCCCCUGGGCCAAUACUGACGCUCAUGCACGAAAGCGUGGGGAGCAAACAGGAUUAGAUACCCUGGUAGUCCACGCCCUAAACGAUGUCAACUAGUUGUUGGGGAUUCAUUUCCUUAGUAACGUAGCUAACGCGUGAAGUUGACCGCCUGGGGAGUACGGUCGCAAGAUUAAAACUCAAAGGAAUUGACGGGGUCAUAGCUGUUUCCU